rnacentral:ncRNA from 1 species
UUCCCUGGUGGUCAAGCCCAACGCAAAACUGCGAGCUGAUGAGCAAGAACAUCAUAUGAGGCGUAGGCCGGAGGCGAGUUGGCACAAGCCGACGGGGCGGCCUCCCGCGAAGCCGCGUGAUCUAACGGCCACCGUAAAUGAUGCAGUUGUGCAGUGACAGUGCAUGUU